UACGUAGGUGGCGAGCGUUGUCCGGAUUUACUGGGCGUAAAGGGAGCGUAGGCGGACUUUUAAGUGAGAUGUGAAAUACUCGGGCUCAACUUGAGUGCUGCAUUUCAAACUGGAAGUCUAGAGUGCAGGAGAGGAGAAUGGAAUUCCUAGUGUAGCGGUGAAAUGCGUAGAGAUUAGGAAGAACACCAGUGGCGAAGGCGAUUCUCUGGACUGUGACUGACGCUGAGGCUCGAAAGCGUGGGGAGCAUACAGG
rnacentral:rRNA from 1 species